GACAGAGGUGCCAAGCGUUAGGCGGAAUCACUGGGCUUAAAGCGUGUGUAGGCGGGCGGGCAAGUACCUUGUGAAAUCCCACGGCUCAACCGUGGAACGGCUGGGUAUACUGCCUGUCUUGAGCCAGCUAGGGGCGACCGGAACAGACGGUGGAGCGGUGAAAUGCGUAGAUAUCGUCUGGAACGCCAAAGGUGAAAACAGGUCGCUGGGGCUGAGCUGACGCUGAGACACGAAAGCUAGGGGAGCAAACAGG
rnacentral:rRNA from 1 species